GACAGAGGGGGCAAGCGUUGCUCGGAAUCACUGGGCGUAAAGGGCGCGUAGGCGGGAUGGCAAGUCGGUCGUGAAAUCCUUCGGCUCAACCGAAGAACGUCGGCCGAUACUGCCGUUCUUGAGGGAUGCAGAGGAGAUUGGAAUUCCCGGUGUAGCGGUGAAAUGUGUAGAGAUCGGGAGGAACACCAGUGGCGAAGGCGACUUCCUGGCCUGUUCUUGACGCUGAGGCGCGAAAGCUAGGGGAGCAAACGGG
rnacentral:rRNA from 1 species